UACAGAGGGCUCAAGCGUUGUUCGGAUUCAUUGGGCGUAAAGGGUGCGUAGGUGGCGCUGUAAGUCAGGUGUGAAAUUUCGGAGCUUAACUCCGAAACUGCAUUUGAUACUGCGGUGCUCGAGGACUGGAGAGGAGACUGGAAUUUACGGUGUAGCAGUGAAAUGCGUAGAGAUCGUAAGGAAGACCAGUGGCGAAGGCGGGUCUCUGGACAGUUCCUGACACUGAGGCACGAAGGCCAGGGGAGCAAACGGG
rnacentral:rRNA from 1 species